CCUACGGGUGGCAGCAGUGGGGAAUAUUGCGCAAUGGGCGAAAGCCUGACGCAGCGACGCCGCGUGAGGGAUGAAGGUCUUCGGAUCGUAAACCUCUGUCAGCAGGGAAGAACGGUCACUGUGCUAAUCAGCAGUGAAUUGACGGUACCUGCAAAGAAGCCCCGGCUAACUACGUGCCAGCAGCCGCGGUAAUACGUAGGGGGCAAGCGUUAUCCGGAAUUACUGGGUGUAAAGGGAGCGUAGACGGUGAUGUAAGUCUGGAGUGAAAGGCGGGGGCCCAACCCCCGGACUGCUCUGGAAACUAUGUGACUGGAGUGCAGGAGAGGUGAGCGGAAUUCCUAGUGUAGCGGUGAAAUGCGUAGAUAUUAGGAGGAACACCGGUGGCGAAGGCGGCCUGCUGGACUGUGACUGACGUUGAGGCCCGAAGGCGUGGGGAGCAAACAGGAUUAGAUACCCCAGUAGUC
rnacentral:rRNA from 1 species